AACUGAUACUACCUGCGGGAACCUGCGGAAGGAUCAUUAGUGAACGCCCUCACGGGCUUAUAACUGUUCCAAACCUCUGUGAACCGUGCCCUUCGGGGCUAUUUUACAAACAUGGUGUAAUGAACGUCAUAUAUCAUAACAAAACAAAACUUUUAGCAAUGGAUCUCU
rnacentral:misc_RNA from 1 species